rnacentral:rRNA from 1 species
AGCCUAGGUCGGAUUAGCUAGUUGGUGGGGUAAAGGCUCUACCAAGGCGACGAUCCGUAACUGGUCUGAGAGGAUGAUCAGUCACACUGGAACUGAGACACGGUCCAGACUCCUACGGGAGGCAGCAGUGGGGAAUAUUGGACAAUGGGCGAAAGCCUGAUCCAGCCAUGCCGCGUGUGUGAAGAAGGUCUUCGGAUUGUAAAGCACUUUAAGUUGGGAGGAAGGGCAGUAAGUUAAUACCUUGCUGUUUUGACGUUACCAACAGAAUAAGCACCGGCUAACUUCGUGCCAGCAGCCGCGGUAAUACGAAGGGUGCAAGCGUUAWUCGCGRAUUACUGGAGCGAUARWGUYKCGCGUMKGUGGYUCAGCAAGWUGCKAUGUGAAAUCCCCGGGSUCAACCUGGGAACUGCAUCCAAAACUACUGAKCUAGAGUACGGUAKAGGGUGGUGGAAUUUCCUGUGUAGCGGUGAAAUGCGUAGAUAUAGGAAGGAACACCAGUGGCGAAGGCGACCACCUGGACUGAUACUGACACUGAGGUGCGAAAGCSUGGGGARCAAACAGGAUUAGAAUACCCYGGUAGUCCACGCCSUAAACGAUGUCGAYUAUGCMCGUUGGGAUCCUUGAGAWCUUAKUGGCGCASCUAACGCSAUWAGUCSACCGCCUGGGGAGUCCGCCCCAAGUUAAAACUAAAUAUUUGCGGGGGCCCCCCAAACGGUGGACCUUUGGUUAAUUCAACCACCCGAAAACCUUACCUGGGCUUGAAUCUAAAAAUUUUCCAAAUUGUUUGGGCCCUCGGAAAUUCAAAACGGGGUCUCA